AUGAAGCUCAUAUGCUGGAAUUGUCGAGGGUUGGGAUCGCCCUCGGCAAUUCGUUCGCUGCUGAAGCUUGUUCGGCAGCAUGGUCCCGACGUUCUCUUCUUGUCCGAGACACAUCUUGAUGGUCCGGGGGGAGAGAGGUUACGUGUGAAACUGGGAUUUGACAAUUUUUCUACUUCACCAAGCAAUGGAAGAAGUGGUGGUAUGAUUAUGUUC
rnacentral:rRNA from 1 species